UGUAUCAUCAUUCUAUGCUUUGUAGAAGGGCCCCACUUAUUGCUCAAAAACCUCUUUCUGAUUCCAAAUUUACUGCAGACCACCUUUUCCCUGAGAUGUAAAGAGGUCAUCAAUGAUGACUUGCCUGUUGGAGAGAUCCUGGAACGCUGGCCUGCCCUAAAGAUGGAGUCACAGAUCUGUGCAAAGUUUCACAGCAUUACAAACAUCUACCUGAAAAACCACUUCUAUGCUGAGUUAGACAGACUUGUCUUGAGGGUUUGUUCAGGAAAGCUGCGCGCGCAGGGAAGGUAUCCGAAGUCCUGGAUCAGCUCUUCAACACUUAUGACCUCCAGGAACAAGUUGACGUCAAUGUCCAACGUGCUGCUGUCCUCCGUGCUUUCCCUACAUAUCUGUAUGAGGAUGACUCCAGGUUUCUGAAGCUGUUGGAUGUGGCCCUGUCAGAUGAAUGCAAAUCGACAACAUACCAGCCGGGCUCCUCAUGAUCAGUGCCACUUCAACAGAUGAACCAGAUCUUCUGCCCCGAGAAGGUUGCAGUUGUGCUUGAGGGUAACACAGUUGUCGAUUUCCCCACAUUUUCUGACGCAUUUGUCAUGCUUUUUGCACUAAUUUAUGCACUGCAUCGAAGUUACCCAAAAGACUGGGUCAAUACAUUUACAAAAAAUGUUAAUGGAUCUCGAGGAUGGCAAGUUGAAGCCUAGGUUA